UCCAGUUGAUCCUGCUGGCGGCUGCGGCUCUUUGAUUUGCGCUUAGGCAUGCAAGUUUUUUGCUAGAUUUUCUGGUGAAAGCGAACUGCUCAGUAACACGUAGUUAACCUACCCUUAAGUCAAGGAUACCCUCGGGAAACUGAGGUUAAUACUUGAUAAGAGACAUGCCCUGGAAAGACUUGUCUCUCAAACUCGAGCUUAAGGAUGGGACUGCGGCGGAUUAGGUUGUUGGCGGGGUAAUAGCCCACCAAGCCGAAGAUCCGUAAGGGCUCUUAGCGGAGAGGCCCUGAGAGGGAAUCUGAGACACUAUUCCCAGCCCUACGGGGUGCAGCAGCUAGGCAUCUUUUACAAUGCACGAAAGUGUGAUAGAGUGAAUCAGAGUGUUUUCCAAUUGGAAGACUUUUGCCAAAUUUAAAACGUUUGGCGAAUAAGGACUGGGUAAGACGAGUGCCAGCCGCCGCGGUAAUACUCGCGGUCCAAGUCGCAGCCAUUUUUAUUGGGUCUAAAACAUCCGUAGCUUGCUGAAUAAGUUUUCUGUGAAAUCCUAUCUCUUAAAGAUAGGGCGUGCAGAAAAUACUAUUUAGCUAGAGACUGGGAGGCGUAAGAAGUACGUUCGAAGUAGCGGUAAAAUGUGUUAAUCUCGGACGGACUAACAACAGCGAAGGCAUCUUACGAGAACAGUUCUGACAGUGAGGGAUGAAGGCUAGGGGCGCAAAACGGAUUAGAUACCCGUGUAGUCCUAGCAGUAAACACUGCACACUAAACAUUAGUACCUCUUCGAGAGGUAUUAGUGCUGAAGGGAAGCCGAAGAGUGUGCUACCUGGGAAGUAUAGUCGCAAGGCCGAAACUUAAAGGAAUUGGCGGGGAGACACUACAACCGGUGACGCGUGCGGUUCAAUUAGAUUAUACACCGUGAACCUCACUAGGAGCGACAGCAGAAUGAAGGUCAGUCUGAAGGGCUUACCUGACACGCUGAGAGGAGCUGCAUGGCCGACGUCAGCCUGUGCCGCGAGGUGACCUGUUAAAUCAGGUAACAGGCAAGACCCACAUCUAUAUUUACUAAGUGUACCAUAUAGAGAUUGCCCGGGUAACAGGGAUGAAAGUGUGGGCCACGUUAGGUGAGUACAGCCCGAAUCCCCUAGGCAACACGCGCGCGUCAAUGGCAGAUACAGCGAGAUGCAACACCGAAAGGUGAAGCCAAUCUCUUAAAGUCUGUCUUAGUUCAGAUUGAGGUUUGUAACUCAGCCUCAUGACGCUGGAAUCGGUAGUAAUCGUUCGUUAUCAACAAACGGUGAAUAUGUCACGGUCUCUUGCACACACUGCCCGUCAAACCAACCGAGUUUAUUUAUGGUGAAACUUUUCGAAGGAGAGCCAUGGGUAGACAAGGUAGGUU
rnacentral:rRNA from 1 species